rnacentral:tRNA from 1 species
GCCGGCGUACCCCAACUGGCAGAGGGACCGGUUUUAGGUACCGGACAGUGAGGGUUCGAGUCCCUCCGCCGGCA